rnacentral:rRNA from 1 species
CCUACGGGGGGCUGCAGUAAGGAAUAUUGGUCAAUGCCCGCAAGGGUGAACCAGCCAUCCCGCGUGCAGGAAGAAGGGGCUCUGCCUUGUAAACUGCUUUUGCAUGGGACGAAAAAAGGGGAUUUAUCCUCGACUGACGGUACCAUGAGAAUAAGCACCGGCUAACUCCGUGCCAGCAGCCGCGGUAAUACGGAGGGUGCGAGCGUUAUCCGGAAUCACUGGGUUUAAAGGGUGCGUAGGCGGUUAUAUAAGUCAGUGGUGAAAGGCCGUCGCUUAACGAUGGGACUGCCAUUGAUACUGUAUAACUUGAGAGAGGUUGAGGUUGGCGGAAUGUGGCAUGUAGCGGUGAAAUGCUUAGAUAUGCCAUAGAACACCAAUUGCGAAGGCAGCUGACUAGACCUCAUCUGACGCUGAGGCACGAAAGCGUGGGGAGCGAACAGGCUUAGAUACCCCAGUAGUC